GGUUUCCACGUCUGCUGAUGAGCCGGCGCGUAUCUCGGCCGCGCCUGUGAGUCGACAGCCCGUUACAACACUUCUGUCAACUUUCUCCUUUGUUUGUACUUUUCCGUUCCGUUUCCACACCAUUUGCAGCGUUUUAGCUUUGACAUUUUUCGAGGAAAGUGAAGCAAGAGAGAGGAGGAAAUGGGAGACGGGAGAUUCUACAUUAUCAUCACGGAGGAAUACAGCAUGUACCGCUUCUGUUGUACGCGCCUCGGCGUCCAGGGGGCAGUGUGGUGCGCACAUGCAAACAUGUAUAUAACGGAUGGAAAGACACAAAGAAGAACGUCGCAGCAAAGCUGCAAUAAUAUGACGAGAAAGUAUAUAUGACAUGGCCUAGCUGUUCCUCAAAUGCUGGAGAGAGUCGCAGCUCGUUCCUCGCCGACUCGGACCUUCACGGCACAGCCGAGCCUGCCGCUCACCUUCCUGUUGGACGCGAUGACCACGAGCGGGCUGAGCGCGGCGUAGAGCGAU